GAUGAACGCUGGCGGCGUGCCUAAUACAUGCAAGUCGAGCGAACAGAUGAGGAGCUUGCUCCUCUGACGUUAGCGGCGGACGGGUGAGUAACACGUGGAUAACCCACCUAUAAGACUGGGAUAACUUCGGGAAACCGGAGCUAAUACCGGAUAAUAUAUUGAACCGCAUGGUUCAAUAGUGAAAGACGGUUUUGCUGUCACUUAUAGACGGAUCCGCGCCGCAUUAGAUAGAUGGUAGGGUAACGGGUUACCAAGGCAACGAUGCGUAGCCGACCUGAGAGGGUGAUCGGCCACACUGGAACUGAGCCACGGUCCAGACGCCUACGGGAGGCAGCAGUAGGCAAUCUUCCGCAAUGGGCGAAAGCCUGACGGAGCAACGCCGCGUGAGUGAUGAAGGUCUUCGGAUCGUAAAACUCUGUUAUUGGGGAAGAACAAAUGUGUAAGUAGCUAUGCACGUCUUGACGGUACCUAAUCAGAAAGCCACGGCUAACUACGUG
rnacentral:rRNA from 1 species